GCCGCCGCGGCACAACCACGCCGGAGGAAGGCGGGGGCCGCUGCCCGCCCCGCGCAGGCCGCGCCGCCUUCCCGCCGCCGGCCGGGGCGCACCUGCGGCGGCUGCCCCGGCUGAGCAUAAUAUUUCUCCUGAUCAACUGACUGAUAAGCGAGUUUAGUAACAGCUUCACACUGCAGAAUUCCUCCAAAUCCUGUGGAUGCAUAGGAUAGGAGCAUCAGAGCAGGGGACUGCUGUCUCAAGCCAUGAUACACAGCAUGGAAAAAAAGGUCUUCAUCCUCUUCAGCAAGAGCGGUAUGGUCAGAGAGUAACCAAAGGAGACAGCAACGGUGUGCUGAAUGCAACCUGCACGUUGUAGUAUAGCAUGGGAAACAGGGAAGAUGACUGCAACAUUUUGUUAAGAUUCCCAUGCCUCCACCCACUGCAAUAUGAGAUUAAAGUAUAAACUAAGUAGAAAAUAGACCUGCAAGGCUUCAGAUGUCACUACAAGAGUAUGAUCCACUCUGUUUAGAUAAAUACAGUAUCUCAGUACUGGAGCUUACCCAGGACAGAUGUCUCGUCAAUAACAAACUUGUUCCCUGUAACAUUAAAUGACUCUGAGAGAUGUAUGAACCGCAAGGCCCAGCAAGUGACAGCAUAGUGAAACUUUUUCUGAGAUAAGCAAACAAAAAGUUUCCCACAAGCCCAUGGCACUCAUCCUGAAGUAAGAGGUGCUGAAGAAAGUCCAGGAGAGAUUAGGAGGGCCUGAGGUUAUUUACUCUCAAUAGAGUUAAGCAAGAUGGCAACUAGGAAAUCUAACUGCAAAACAACUUUCUGCCUGGCCAAGGAAAAAGAAUGAUAAAGACAGGGGAAUCUCAGUCAAGUUGUUCUUUUGCGGAUAUAACAGAUCCUGCCAAAAAGUCAAGAUAAUUGCCAAGAGGGACAAAGAAAAGACGCUUAUGGAACAACCUUAAAGCAACAGGUCUGUCAGGUUCCUGGUAUCUUUUCAUCACCUGAUGAAAAUAAUUCUUUUCCAUGUUUCUCUUCAGAUGUUUCAAAGUGCUAAUGAAAUACUUGCUUGGAGAAUAAAGAUGCGGCAAGUUCUGUGUCAAAGAAUUUUCUUAGUAGUAUGGAAGGAUUGACAGGAUGGUCUAUACAGGCCUUUUUCACUUCAGAGAGCAAUUUGCCUGAAUUUCUCAAAAGGGGUAUGUAGUAAUUGGUGAUGAUAGGAUAGGAGGAGAAUUCUACCGAUGCAAGGUCAAAACUCCCAGCCAGUGGUAAACUGUGAGUCUGUGAUAGCAUCAUUAGCACAUGGAAAGCUCCCGUGUUUCUUAACACUGCACUGGACUGCUUCAGCAGAUGGAUAAAUCAGAUUGGAGAAAGCCUUAAAGUUCAGGAUGUGACAGAUGGGUGGAGGCGUAAAUGAUGUCUGGAAAACAGUGCAAAUGGAAGGGAUUAACCAUGUGGAGUCUGCUGAUAGUGUCAGUCUUCUAGACAUUUAGGAUAAGAAUUCAUAGAUCCAACCCUCCAUGGGAGCAGUUACUGUGUUCUUCUGUGUAUUACUGGAAACAAGUCAAUUGUGAUUGUCUUUUGCAAGGUAGAGGAAGAGAGUUCUAAAUAGGCAUUAGAUGGUGGCAAGGUAAUUGGGGGUUUGUGCUACCUGACUUUAGAAGAAAUAGGAGUGAUGCCAAACCUUCUUGGAGUUGAUUGACUGUCAGGGAGUGCCAGGACAUGAGUUUCCUGAUGUAUUUAAAGGUAUGAAUACUGUCAUGAAAGCCUUCUAGUACAGACACUUGUAAAAAUCUGUUAAAUUAUAAAAAACAUUCCGAUUACAGAUACCUGUAAGAUGAGCGAAUACCUGAGAAAGAUGAGCAAAUACAUGAGAAAGAUGAGCAAAUGACAGCUAUCACCAUCUUGUCAUGGCCACCCUGAAGUGCACAGGGGAGCUGGCUGCAGUUGUGCUGAGUGGGGUGGGGGCGAGCAGGUCCACUCCAGCCUGUUAAAUCACCCACAACCAGACUGCGCUAAUUAUCACAGAAAGCUGGAUAUUCUUUAUCCUCUUUGAGCAUUCAGAGGUUUUUGUUGGUUUUGCCACAAUGGCAAAUACACCUCCACUGUGUUUGAAAGAUGAUAUUGCUGGGAGACAGAAUAGCUAACUGGGAUCCAGUUACCAUUAAGUGAGACUGGGAAGGGACUGGGUGCCAGAAAAAAGGACGCAAAGGAACAAGCAGCUUGCAGUGCUUAAAAGACUCAUGAGAAGUGGUGGGGCUGAAAGUUACAGGCUCAGGGAACUGGAGACGUUGGUGAUUCUGACAAAUGUAUGGAAGUCAGCAUGUUGCAAGACAUGAAAUAAACUUUAUGACGUAUUGUUGAGUAAGGCAAAAGUCAUAUAUUCAAAAUUGCCAUAGAUUUGUUUGCAAGAAUAAGUAUCUGUGUAGAAAGAUCUGGGUGAGGACAUAUCUUAUGGCAUGUACUAGACCUGCUCCGCAAACUUAAUUAAUUUAACCCCUGAGGCAACUGUUUCAGUAGUAGAACAUGAGAAUCUUUUGUACAGUUUGUAUUUAACUUUGGAUCUGUGAACUGCUCUAGUGUUAGUGUCCAAAUUACCCACGGUAAAGUAAUACAACUAAGAGUAAGUGUCCAGGGAAGUAAAGAUUGUGUUCUGAUGUGUCUUUAAUGGUGCAUACACUUAACUAGCUACAGCCUUUAAUGAAUGUGAGGUUUUAUGUAGAGAAUUUUCUCUUUCUGAGCAAAAUUGUUACCAUCUCUCUAAUUAUAAUAGUAAAUACACGAUAGGUAAAAUAUGCAAAUGGUAUUUUUGGAAACAUAAUUAGUCUGGAAGUUCUGUCUCCUUUUGCAGUUCUGAAAUUCUCUAGCAUGACCUUUGAAAGAGCUGUUAGCACUAUCUGCCUGUAUAAAAAGAACUAGCAUUUAUGGAAAAUACACUUGGAAACUAUAUUAAAAUUACUUUAAAUUGCUCUGUGAAAAGACAGUGUCAGUUUCUUGCAUAAUGUUACAUCUCUAUUUUAUAUGUAUGACCAGAACUGACUGUAUGCUGUAAACCUAAAAUAUAAUAAAUUAUCAUUUCAUG